UACGGGGGGAGCAAGCGUUGUUCGGAUUUACUGGGCGUAAAGGGCGCGUAGGCGGCCACCGCAAGUCGACUGUGAAAUCUCCGGGCUUAACCCGGAACGGUCAGCCGAUACUGCGGGGCUAGAGUGCAGAAGGGGCAACUGGAAUUCUCGGUGUAGCGGUGAAAUGCGUAGAUAUCUGGAGGAAUACCGGUGGCGAAGGCGGCAUCCUGGACCGGCAUUGACGCUGAGUGAGCGAAAGCUAGGGGAGCAAACGGG
rnacentral:rRNA from 1 species